CUCACCUGGUUCCCAUGCCUCACCUGUGCUCCCUUUGAGAUCACCACACCCGCAGGCUGAACAGGUGGUGUCUGUGGGGAGGUGGUCAAAGGAUCUUCCUGGUCCUGGAGAGGCAUUGAGAGCUGGCAAUAUCAUCCAAGGAGGGCAGAGGGCAGCUGACUAUCACCCUCUGCAGUUUUUCCUUGUUGGCUGCUGUGCAGCCAGCGGACCUGCCAGGUGUCACACAAAGCAAUCGAAAGUGGCUGUAUGAACGUUUUCUAUUCCAUGCUGUCAUAACACGAACAAGCCGUCAAGUGAAGCAGCUGAGAAAAGGGAUUAAAGAGACCAUGGUUUGGCCACUUUGACAGAAAGACCAGGCAUCAUUCCCCUGUUCCUGCCAAGGGAAUCAGAAACUGCUCCAAGUUGUGAGUCUAUCCUAGAAAGAAUACUGUGGCCUGCCAUAGAUGAUGAUGAAGACGAGGAGGACUGCUCUCUUGAGGACCAGUGCAGAGUGGCAGGGUACCUUCGGUCUUUCAUUGAAAAUGCUUCAUGUGAACAACGCAAAGCCCUUC